AGGGGACACCUUUUUCUUUGAGGCAUGCAGCUGUGGCUAGCCCAGAAGGCCCUGCACCAACUAUCACAGUUCCAGGAACCGAAACACACUUUAAUUGUGACUUCAUCCUUGAGACUGAAAUUUGCAUACUACCUGUUAGCUUGGGUUGUCAAUGUAUAUUAAGAAGCGAAAAGAGUGGGAAGUAAUUUGCUCAGUUGAAGUUGAUGAAAGAUGUAUUGACAAGAGAAUAUAAUGAUACUGAAAAUUUAUUGCCAAGAAGUGAAGCUUCCUUAAUAAAACAAUGGGUAAGAGGUGGGGGGGAGAGAAAAAGAGAAGUUUUCUUGUAGUCUCUGAAAAUUUUAGGUG